UGGGGAAUAUUGGACAAUGGGCGCAAGCCUGAUCCAGCCAUGCCGCGUGAGUGAUGAAGGCCUUAGGGUUGUAAAGCUCUUUCGCACGCGACGAUAAUGACGGUAGCGUGAGAAGAAGCCCCGGCUAACUUCGUGCCAGCAGCCGCGGUAAUACGAAGGGGGCUAGCGUUGUUCGGAUUCACUGGGCGUAAAGCGCACGUAGGCGGACCGUUAAGUCGGAGGUGAAAGCCUGGAGCUCAACUCCAGAACUGCCUUCGAUACUGGCGGUCUCGAGUCCGGUAGAGGUGAGUGGAACUGCUAGUGUAGAGGUGAAAUUCGUAGAUAUUAGCAAGAACACCAGUGGCGAAGGCGGCUCACUGGACCGGUACUGACGCUGAGGUGCGAAAGCGUGGGGAGCAAACA
rnacentral:rRNA from 1 species